UACGUAGGGGGCUAGCGUUGUCCGGAAUCAUUGGGCGUAAAGCGCGUGUAGGCGGUUCGGUAAGUCCGCUGUGAAAGUCGGGGGCUCAACCCUCGGAUGCCGGUGGAUACUGUCGGGCUUGAGUACGGAAGAGGCGAGUGGAAUUCCUGGUGUAGCGGUGAAAUGCGCAGAUAUCAAGGAGGAACACCAACUGCGAAGGCAGCUCGCUGGGACGUUACUGACGCUGAGACGCGAAAGCGUGGGAGCAAA
rnacentral:rRNA from 1 species